rnacentral:rRNA from 1 species
CCUACGGGUGGCAGCAGUGAGGGAUAUUGGUCAAUGGACGAGAGUCUGAACCAGCCAAGUAGCGUGAAGGAUGACUGCCCUAUGGGUUGUAAACUUCUUUUAUAUGGGAAUAAAACGUUCCACGUGUGGGAUUUUGUAUGUACCAUAUGAAUAAGGAUCGGCUAACUCCGUGCCAGCAGCCGCGGUAAUACGGAGGAUCCGAGCGUUAUCCGGAUUUAUUGGGUUUAAAGGGAGCGUAGGUGGAUUGUUAAGUCAGUUGUGAAAGUUUGUGGCUCAACCGUAAAAUUGCAGUUGAAACUGGCAGUCUUGAGUACAGUAGAGGUGGGCGGAAUUCGUGGUGUAGCGGUGAAAUGCUUAGAUAUCACGAAGAACUCCGAGUGCGAAGGCAGUUCACUGGACUGCAACUGACACUGAGGCUCGAAAGUGUGGGUAUCAAACAGGAUUAGAUACCCCAGUAGUC